rnacentral:rRNA from 1 species
UACGUAGGGUGCAAGCGUUAAUCGGAAUUACUGGGCGUAAAGCGUGCGCAGGCGGUUUUGUAAGACAGGCGUGAAAUCCCCGGGCUCAACCUGGGAAUUGCGCUUGUGACUGCAAAGCUGGAGUGCGGCAGGGGGGAGUGAUUACCGCGUGUAGCAGUGAAAUAGCGUAGAUAUGCGGAGGAACACCGAUGGCGAAGGCAAUCCCCUCGGACCGUGCACUGACGCUCAUGCACGAAAGCGUGGGGAGCAAACAGGAUUAGAAACCCGGGUAGU